CUUUCUAAGACGGUAACAAAAAUUCUACAAGAAGUCGUAACCCUUUUCUGAGUUGCUAAGCAAUGUGGUGGGUACUUUGUGUUCUCAUAUCCCUUCCAAUAAGUUAAGGUAUUUCUGUCUUUAACCUACAGAUCAGGAAGACUAAAAAAUACACGCCUGUUUGUUUUAGCCAGCAAGUUCACUGCUCCCAAUUCUCUGUAAUUUUCACUACAAGUCAUGGAUGAGACGUUAAAGUAGCUGGAAGAGGAGCUUGUAGGUGGCAGUGAGAACGGAAGUAUUAGCUGGUGGCGGCCGGAAGGACAAGAGAGACAUCAGAGAAACAAGCCGCCAGCUCUGAGACCUGCUGAGAUUUGCCUGGCUCCCGAGCUGUCAGCUCCCGCCGCGGCUAAGGAAGCUCGGGGGCGUGAACGAAGUAUGUGCGAGAGGGACUUUUCUCCAUGCCUGCCAGAGCCCGGUUAGGUCAGGGAAUUUUGUUCUAAACUGAGGUAUAAGUGACGACAUUAUAUUGGUUUCAUGUGUACAAGGUAAAGAUUCAACAUUUGUAUGUAUUGCAAUAUGAUGACCACAGUAAGUCUAGUUAACAUCCAUCAAAAUAAUGUAGUUAAAAUUUUUUUCCCGUGAUGAGAAAUUUUAAGACCUAUUCUCUUAGCAACUUUUAAAUACGCAUUUUAGUAUUAUGAUUGUCCCAGUGCUGUACAUGACAUCCCAAUGGCUUAUUUAUUUUUUACCUGGAAGUUUGCACCUUUUGCCCCCCCUUCACCCAUGUAUCUACCCCCUUACCUCCUGCCUCUGGCAACCACCAAUCUAUGAGCUUGGUUUUUU